rnacentral:rRNA from 1 species
GAUGAACGCUGGCGGCGUGCCUAAUACAUGCAAGUCGAGCGAACGGACGAGAAGCUUGCUUUUCUGAUGUUAGCGGCGGACGGGUGAGUAACACGUGGAUAACCUACCUAUAAGACUGGGAUAACUUCGGGAAACCGGAGCUAAUACCGGAUAAUAUUUUGAACCGCAUGGUUCAAAAGUGAAAGACGGUCUUGCUGUCACUUAUAGAUGGAUCCGCGCUGCAUUAGCUAGUUGGUAAGGUAACGGCUUACCAAGGCAACGAUGCAUAGCCGACCUGAGAGGGUGAUCGGCCACACUAGAACUGAAGCACGGUCCAGACUCCUACGCGAGGCAGCAGACGGGAAUCUUCCGCAAUGGGCGAAAGCCUGACAGAGCAACGCCGCGUGAGAGAUGAAGGUCUUCGGAUCGUAAAGCUCUGUUAUUAGGGAAGAACAUAUGUGUAAGUAACUGUGCACAUCUUGACGGUACCUAAUCAGAAAGCCACGGCUAACUACGUG